rnacentral:snRNA from 1 species
AUACCUUCCUCGACCUUUUGGCUAAGAUCAAGUGUAGUAUCUGUUCUUAUCAGUUUAAUAUCUGAUAUGUGGACUAUUAGUUCACACGAUAAUUAAUUUUUUUGAGGGAGAGGCCCAUCAGAGUAGCUUGCUACUUGGUCGGUGCAUCCCACUCAAACAGUUUAAUUAUUUGUCCUUCUCUUGAUUCUGAUUCAUUUUA